AUGGAGGAGGAUGAGGCGGCGGCGGAGCCAGGACCGACCGACCGACGGACCGGGACGGAGCCUCGUCUACCGCCCCUGGAACCCGGCACUGGUGUCUGCCCGCGGCCGGUGAGGCCAGAGUUCCGGAGGUGCAGCAUGGCCCGGGGCUGCCUCUGCUGCCUCAAAUACAGCAUGUUCCUCUUCAACCUGCUCUUCUGGGUGAGUACUCCCCCUGCCCUGCCCUGCCCCUCCCCGUCGCCUCCUCUCCCCUCUCCUCCUCUCCCCCCACCCCGCCUUUCCCCCCUCCUCGGCCUGGGAAACUUUCCAGCCGCCCCCACCAGACUGAACUGGGGCCUGGGCGGCCGGUUGGGGGGCAGGACGGGUAGGUGGGGGCCACCGGGGGCCGGGGCCGGCGCCCAGGGUGGAGGUCUGGCCGGUUUCGGGGCCGCGGCGUCGAGCGGGAAGGCCAGCGGGCCGUGGGACGCGAGGCGAGGCCGGGUCGGACGGUGUGGGGGGGUCGGGCCGGGUGGGGCAGGGGGAGUGACGCCCUUGGGGGGGCCCUCACCGGAUGGGACUUGUGGGGGACGGGUGCGGGUUUUGAUGCCGGGAUGAUAGGCGGUACGGCCUGUUGCCGGGGUCACUGGUGCCCAUCCUGGGGGUGGGGCAGUGCCCCGGUGGAAGGGGGGACAGGGAGGGCCCAGAAAUGUUUGAGAGAGACAGAGGAUUUAAAGGGCCAGUUGUGCCGUCCAAAUGACCACACCCCCGGUCUCCCCCCCCCCACACGAUCGCCCACACAAGGUCAGGGACAGAGAAAGUCGGUCAGCGCCCAGUUUUGGCAGGGGACAGGCGGGAGGGUCACCCGGGGGAGAGUCACGGCUGGCACGCCCCUCUUACCCCCCCAAUGAAGCCCUGGGUCUCUGCCAGCUGCUCUGACCCACUUUUCUCCCUGGCCAGUGGGGGAAGGGAGAAAGCUUGUCCCCUUG
rnacentral:lncRNA from 1 species